rnacentral:lncRNA from 1 species
GGGCUCAGAUCUAGGCGAGAUAGGUACCUUUGCCAUAAUAGCUAAAGUGGAGUGAUUAUAUAGUGUCCAUCAUCUUGCAACAGGAGGCCAUGGUUUGGGCCAGCACAACAGGCUCCCUUCAACUUAGAGCAUCGACGAUUACAUUUCCUGUCUUGGGUUAAUAAAUGAUCUAGUAAUCAUAAUCCUUCAGAAGAUCCAUCCAGCGUCUUUGUCUCAUAUUUAACUCCC